rnacentral:rRNA from 1 species
GAUCCUGGCUCGGGAUGAACGCUAGCUACAGGCUUAACACAUGCAAGUCGAGGGGCAGCAUGGUCUUAGCUUGCUAAGGCCGAUGGCGACCGGCGCACGGGUGAGUAACACGUAUCCAACCUGCCGUCUACUCUUGGACAGCCUUCCGAAAGGAAGAUUAAUACAAGAUGGCAUCAUGAGUUCGCAUGUUCACAUGAUUAAAGGUAUUCCGGUAGACGAUGGGGAUGCGUU